rnacentral:rRNA from 1 species
CCUACGGGUGGCAGCAGUCGAGAAUCAUUCACAAUGGGGGAAACCCUGAUGGUGCGACGCCGCGUGGGGGAAUGAAGGUCUUCGGAUUGUAAACCCCUGUCAUGUGGGAGCAAAUUAAAAAGAUAGUACCACAUGAGGAAGAGACGGCUAACUCUGUGCCAGCAGCCGCGGUAAUACAGAGGUCUCAAGCGUUGUUCGGAAUCACUGGGCGUAAAGCGUGCGUAGGCUGUUUCGUAAGUCGUGUGUGAAAGGCGCGGGCUCAACCCGAGGACGGCACAUGAUACUGGGAGACUAGAGUAAUGGAGGGGGAGCCGGAAGUCGCGGUGUAGCAGUGAAAUGCGUAGAUAUCGAGAGGAACACUCGUGGCGAAGGCGGGUUCCUGGACAUUAACUGACGCUGAGGCACGAAGGCCAGGGGAGCGAAAGGGAUUAGAUACCCUUGUAGUC